rnacentral:lncRNA from 1 species
GGAAAUUAUUGUCUUUGGCCUCUGGUUCUGCGAGCCGAUUGUGUUUUCGUACCGUCGUAGGUUUUCUUUCUCUUUUCUUUUUCUCUUAACGUUUGUCUUUCUCCCUCCCUCGUCCUCUGCUCUCUCUUCCUUCGCACUUUUAUUAUUACUUGACAAUUUACUGCCUAUGUACGAGUCCUUCGUUCUCCCAACCCCGUCCCAUUUUCGUGGCCUUGAUUUGAUUCUUGUGGGUGUGUUUGCUUGUUGUGAUCCGCUGAGUGUAAUUCUGAUUUCUUGUAUGUGCGUAGAUUUAAAAAGCUAUUUUCUUUUUCUUCUUUAAAAAAAAAAAAAGAUUUGUUUUAUUUAUUUUAUGUGAGUCCAAUGUCGCUGUCUCCAGACACACCAGAAGAGGGCAUCAAAUCCCAUUACAGAUGGUUGUGAGCCACCAUAUGGUUGGGGGGAUUUGAACUCAGGACCUCUGGAAGAGCAGUCAGUGCUCUUAACCGCUGAGCCAUCUCUCCAGCCCUAGCUAUUUUCUUUUUAAGAAUUUCUUUCCAAAAUAUGAUCUCAGCUAGGCAUAGUGGCCCAUGACUUUAUUCACCGCCCUAAGGAAACAGAGGCAGGUCUCUCUGAGUCAGAGGUCAGCCUUGUUUACAUGAGUUCCGGGACAGGCAGGGCUACAUAGCUAGACCUUUUCUAAAACAAAACAAAACAAAUGAGCAAACAAAAUUAAAGUCCCACCAAAUUAUACCAGGCUGGCCUUGGGCUUUUGAACCUCCUGUCUCAGCCUAACUUUGGUUGGGAUGGCAGGCACACCUAACACAGGAACUGGAAUUUUCGAGCACUUUUGACAGAAUAUGAAGGCUGUCUUGGGUCGGUGCAGGAGAACUGCUGGACUGUGCCGAGCCUUUGCAUGUCCUGGCGGGAACUCAGCAGUAACCCUUGACCACCCAGCAGGUACCUAGACAGGGACACCUGUGUCUUCCUGGCAGACACACCACUGGGCCCUGUCCCAACAGUCCCAGCAUGUUCCACUGCAGGGGUCACAGUAUGUCCCCCUGUGAGUCAGGUUCUGCUGACCGCAUGCCCCUACUCCUGCCAUCUCUGUGCACAGCUUUAACGUCCUCCCUGUGGGGAGCAGUGACUAGUGUUUUAUCCCUGAGGAUAAAAAGGCUGUUUUGAUAAUGGGCAGGCUUGGCUUGAGAGGAGCUGCUGCUAAACAUAGCACUGAGAAGGUUCCUGGAGGGGAUGGGGGUGCUGCUUUGUCUGAGUGCCCCCCAGGUCCUCCGAGAACUAUUCUUGACGCCUCUGAAAAACAGGUUCCCUUUGAGGAAAAAAAUGUCUGAUCUCUAAGCAUUAGCCUCAAAGCUCCCCUCUCCUGUUUGCUUUGCUUCCUACCCCAGCUUCUCAUUUCUUUUUCCUUUUAGAAAAAAAAAAAAAAGAAAAGAAAGAAAACAACUACCUUUCUGAAUGUAUUGUAUCCAAGGCCUUUGCAAUGUUGGGAGCAGAGUGAGCAGGUGUGGGGAGUCCUGAAAGACUGGUUACAUUACGGAGGUCAUCUGGCAUCCAGAGAAAGCUACUGCUUCAUCAAGCAGUUCUCCACCCUGCUGUAAUUAAAUACCUUGAAUUUUCUUUCUUUCCCCCAUGUAAAUGAAGGACUUCGUGGUCUUCUCUAAAAGUUUCUGUUCUGACUAACUUUGAUUCUCGGUUCCGUCAUCCAUUUCAUCUUGUGUUCUGUUGCCUUUGGUUAUAUCACACAAAGAGAAGGGUUGGGAUGUAAGUGAGUUAAGUUAUCCAGGACAAAAUCUUCGCUGACCACCUCAUCUGUGAUGGAAGCAUCCUCAUUUAAUAUGUAUUCUGCAAACUUUUUUUUUGAACCUCCAGUCACAAAUGCUGGAAUCUGCUUUAUAAGGCAAUAGGAAAAAGACAGAAGCCAAAAUACAAGGAUUCUACUCAAGCCUUCUGGAAAGGACUGUGUUGCCUUUGAUGCAUGGAGCAAAGAAUUCUUAGAUUUUCCUGCCAGCCCCUGAAACCGGACCUGUGAUGUCAAGUUGGGUUUUGUUGUUGUUUGUUUUAACCUGCCAUGAGAUGGGUUGACAGGAUCAAUCAUUUUACACCAUGAUCCCUUGUCCCUGGGAGGACUGUCUGAGACAUUAGAGAAAUGGGAUACAGACUUCCUCACUGGGCUGGGGGAGCUGGCUCAGGUGCAGAGUACUUGCCACGAUAUGAAGAUCCACUUUUAAAAUAAAUCAAACAUAGUCAAGCA